rnacentral:rRNA from 1 species
GGAAGGGUUGUAUUUAUUAGAUAAAGAACCAAUAUAAUUGGUGACUCAUAAUAACUUUACGGAUCACAAUUAAUGUGACAUAUCAUUCAAGUUUCUGACCUAUCAGCUUUAGACGGUAGGGUAUUGGCCUACCGUGGCAAUGACGGGUAACGGGGAAUUAGGGUUCGAUUCCGGAGAGGGAGCCUGAGAAACGGCUACCACAUCUAAGGAAGGCAGCAGGCGGGCAAAUUACCCAAUCCUAAUACAGGGAGGUAGUGACAAGAAAUAACAAUACAGGACUUUUUGGUUUUGUAAUUGGAAUGAGUUAAGUAUAAACCCCUUUACAAGUAUCAAUUGGAGGGCAAGUCUGGUGCCAGCAGCCGCGGUAAUUCCAGCUCCAAUAGCGUAUAUUAAAGUUGUUGCAGUUAAAAAGCUCGUAGUUGGAUUUCUGUUAAUAAUUUAUAUAAAAUAUUUUGAUGAAUAUUUAUAUAAUAUUAACAUAAUUCAUAUUACUAUUUUUUUUUAGUAUAUGAAAUUUUACUUUGAGAAAAUUAGAGUGCUUAAAGCAGGCAUAUGCCUUGAAUACUCCAGCAUGGAAUAAUAUUAAAGAUUUUUAUCUUUUUUAUUGGUUCUAAGAUAAGAAUAAUGAUUAAUAGGGACAAUUGGGGGCAUUUGUACUUAACGGUCAGAGGUGAAAUUCCUAGAUUUGUUAAAGACAAACUAAUGCGAAAGCAUUUGCCAAGGAUGUUUUCAUUAAUCAAGAACGAAAGUUAGGGGAUCGAAGACGAUCAGAUACCGUCGUAGUCUUAACCAUAAACUAUGCCGACUAGAGAUUGGAGGUUGUUCCUUACUCCUU